rnacentral:lncRNA from 1 species
GGAAAACAACAAGUGCAGACUUGGAGCGAGGGAGAAUAGAACCCGGAAGUUAAGCGUGCUUGGGCUGGAGUAGUGAGAGGGAUGGGUGACCGAUCGGGAAGUUAGAUGAUUUGGAAUGAUGAGGGGUGAUUAAAGGAUAAAUUGAGAAGUGAUGAGGGGUGGUGAUUACAGACUAGAGGUUAAAAUAAUUCAGAAAUUUGAAAAUAAAAAAAUCCAAAAAAAAAUUCAAAAAAAAAUCAUAAAAUUUCCUUUAGUCCCGGUUAGUGUUACCAACCAGGACUAAAGGUGGAGCUCCACGUGGCUGCGCCCUUUAGUCCUGGUUUUGGAUUGAACCGGAACUAAAGGAGGGAGGUAUUAGUACCGACACUUUAGUCCCGGUUCAAGAAUUCAAAAAUUGAGAAGUGAUGAGGGGUGGUGAUUACAGACUAGAGGUUAAAAUAAUUCAGAAAUUUGAAAAUAAAAAAAUCCAAAAAAAAAUUCAAAAAAAAA